rnacentral:misc_RNA from 1 species
AACGCACAUUGCACCCUCUGGCAUUCCGGGGGGUAUGCCUGUUCGAGCGUCAUUACAACCCUCAAGCUCAGCUUGGUAUUGGGUGUCACCAGCGGGUGCUCCCUAAAAUCAGUGGCGGUGCCAUCCGGCUUCAAGCGUAGUACUAUUUCUCGCUUUGGAGGUUAGGGUGUACGCUUGCCAUUAAUCACUAUUUUCCAAAAGUUGACCUCGGAUCAGGUAGGGAUACCCGCUGAACUUAA